ACCCAAACCCACCAGCUGGACGAGGAACCACGGGAUGUUAGAAUCAAGUAACUUUGGCCAACAAUCUGAGACACUUGGGAGAAAAUUCAUUCUAAAUCUAACAGCUUCCUGCUCUCAGGAAGGCCUCUGGGCUUCCGGUGCCUCUGGUCCUCCUUGCCGACUCUUCUGUGGAGGCUAGCUUCCUCCAAGCUGACCCCCAGGGAGCCGCCUUCUCGUAGGUGGAAAGCGAAGAGAUGAGAGCGGGUAAGCAGUGGAGACACAAUGGCUGUACUCAGGACCUGUACCAGAGGUGGCAGGAGGACAACCACCGAGCCCUGCUCCACCCAUCGCAGCCUCGAGACCCUCUGCGCGGGGAUGCUGACCCCUGCUGGCCACCUGAGAGAUUGCAGCGUGGCCGACUCCAAGGGGCGGCAAGGGUAAGGGAAAAAGAGUGAGAGAAUUGAGGGCUAUGGAGCCCAAAUCAGCAUGCCUCUAGGACCUACCUGAGCCUCCAAAAGACCCCUCAACAGGAACCGUUGUCCGAACCAACCAACCAACUCCAAACCUAAACCUCAGAGACCUCCUCAUGCAGACAUAAGAUUGCUGACCUAUCUCUGGGGUAGUCAGUUGAAAUACCCCAGAGAUAUUCAGGACCUAAUCCCAGGAACCUGUGGAAGUUUCUUUAAAUGGCAAAAGAAACCUCGAGUGUGUUACCCUAGAUUAUUUAGGUAGAUUCUACAUGUAAUCAGGUAUAUCACCAAAGGGGAACUGAGGUAAAGGAAUAUUUAUUUCACUACAGAACAGAAGGCAAGCCAUCUUGCAGGAGGGCAUGGAGGAGAGAAGGAGAGAGUCAGGAGAGAAGAGAUUCCCUCUACAGUGCCCAGAGUCUCCACUGACACACUGAUUUGGACCCGAUGAAACUAAUUCCAAACUCUGGUGUCAAGAACUUUAAAAGAAUAAAUGUGUGCUGUUUUG
rnacentral:lncRNA from 1 species